rnacentral:lncRNA from 1 species
CUGUUCCCCGUCAAAGAGCUGUAGGAGGGCGAGUUAAAGAGUUAAAAAGUGACAGAGGUUGUCAAACUUUACUCUACCCCAAGGGCCAAGAGAUGCUCCUGACUGCCUCUUACAAGAAAUUUGCAGACACGUGCACUUGGGUUUGACUCACUUAACAUGUCAAGACAUCAGAUCUUCACGUCAUGAGCAAGGGGCACAAGCCUGUAGCUCUAGAAAUCACAAAAGGACUGGACCCUGUUCUUUAAAAGGCAAAGCAUGAGUCUAACACAAAACCACAGAGAGGAUCCAGCGGACUUCACGGGUGUAAUUUUGAAGAGUUCUAGGGAAUCAUUUUGUAAAAGACCCAGUUAAGUCAGUCAUAGGACCUGCGUUUGAGACGUGCCCUGUUGAUACCUGGAGGAAAGAAACGUCCUUAUCUCUGAAGACACAAGACUUCAGAGAUAGAUCUGAACAAACACCUCUUCCCUGGAGCAGGGUGAAGUGGAU